GCUCACGUAGCUCAGUCGGUAGAGCACUUCCUUGGUAAGGAAGAGGUCGAUGGUUCGAUUCCAUUCGUGAGCACCA
rnacentral:tRNA from 15 species